rnacentral:tRNA from 1 species
ACCUGGCUGGCUCAGUUGGUAGAGUGUGUGACUCUUGAUCUUAGGGUUGUGAGUUCGAGCCCCAUGUUGGCUG